GGAAAGACCCAGGAGAGAGAAAGUCAUGGCAGGAAGAGGCAGAAAAGAUGCAUCAGGUGGAUUCUUUCAGAUCCUUCAAUUUGACUUACAAAAUGGGGGCAAAAGCUGAUUCAACUUAGACUCAAACCCCAAAGUUUUCAGCCAGCAAGGAGAGGCCCUGCUUAAAGAUUCCACCCCAGCAUGGUUUCCUGCUCCUCCUGCAGCCUGAGGUGGUACCAGAAGAACACAUGGUGCUUAUGGAUGUUCUCUAAAGGCUUUGGACUUAUUAGGAAGUCUUAAGAGCUUUGUGACAAGGAAUUAAGAGUUGACAUUCCAGACCCCAGUGGUGCUCACAUACAUGUGGCUCCAUGCUGUGAAGGGUCCACUCUGAACGAGUCAGCUCCAGAUGUCUUCUCACCCAGCUUUCUUCUUGCAGGUACUGG